rnacentral:lncRNA from 1 species
AUCACCGACACGAGAAGCUAUGUUAUUUGCUGGCAGGCUCUCCACGGAUGCAAUCUUCCACCACUCCAGCAACACCUCCGAAGUCCUCAAGCAGCGGUGUUCUCCGGCAACGCAAGGGCGUCCUUCAUCUUGGCGUCGAGUUGUAGCAAUCCCGGUGCCUGCCUCUGGAGCCGGCUCGGGGGUUUCUCGCCUUCCUUGCCGUUCUAACCGGCCUCCUCUGUUGCUCCAAUAGCUAGCACUGCAUUCCUUGUCGAGAGUCCAAGUGCGAGUGUCGCAAACGAUGCUCUCUUCUUCUCGUCGUCGUCUGAUCUGCACAAGCGGCUGCACCUUUUUUCUUCACUGGUAAAAAGUUCUUCUCCAGCAGAUCUGCACGUCUAUUUUCCUUCAGUAGAGAACUGCUGUAGCUCUCUAAUCUCUACCGCACUGCAAAUAGCUUCUUCUUGGGAAGAGACCAGAAAAAGACUGCUUUCCCCAGAGCAGUCUCUCCAUUUUCCUCUCUCCAGACCAAUCUCCAGAUCAGAUUAUUGCUAGGCUCAAUACUAGCAGCAUGGUCUCCGAAAUCUUCACAACUUUGCUGCCAUUCAUUGAGGAAUCUGUGAAGUGGAACUUACCCAUCCCCACCGAUUGACAGUGACAAGAGGUCUACAACAUCAUCCACCGUCUAGUCCCUCUCUUUUCUCCUUUCCCGACAGUGCUGCAUCCCCCCCUUCCCCUUCUUCUUUCUUCCUCAUGGAAGACCUCCCAAAGGAAGCACAGGUGCUGCCAUCUUCGGCCAUCGUUGAUCAUAUCACUGGCGCCUGUCUUCUCUCGCUGUCGCUCUGCGCUAGUGUCUGCCCACUGCAGCCCAACAUGCCCGGAGUUAGCAGGAUCUCAUUUACUGUGUUCCUCCUCGCUGCGACGCCUCUAGUGCUGCAUUCACCAACACUACAGAUCUCGGUGGCCACUACCAGCUACACCGCCGGAGCUUCCCGUGCGAAAGACAUAAUGGCAGACUUCUUUCUCUUCUGAUCUGCCACUUAACGAACAAGCAGUAGCGGCCCUUGAUUGCUGAUUUUUGGACUUUGCUACCGACCGCUACUCCAGAUAUGGACAGCAGCGCCUUCGGGGUGCUUUUAUCAUAGCAGCGGCACCUUCAGCAACAGGACCGGUGGGCUUCAGGGACUUGAGCCGGGCAGCUCUCCCUCGUCUCCCAACUUGGUUCUCAUAUUUUGAUUAUAAAACUAAUUGAUAAUGUUAUAAUAUAAUCU